GGCCCUGAGGUGUAUUUACAUAUUAGAUUGCAAAUCUGAGGUCGUGGAUUAGAAGUCUGCCGGGGCUU
rnacentral:tRNA from 1 species